rnacentral:rRNA from 1 species
UGGGGAAUAUUGCACAAUGGGCGCAAGCCUGAUGCAGCCAUGCCGCGUGUGUGAAGAAGGCCUUCGGGUUAUAAAGCACUUUCAGCGAGGAGGAAGGUGGUGAGCUUAAUACGCUCAUCAAUUGACGUUACUCGCAGAAGAAGCACCGGCUAACUCCGUGCCAGCAGCCGCGGUAAUACGGAGGGUGCAAGCGUUAAUCGGAAUUACUGGGCGUAAAGCGCACGCAGGCGGUUUGUUAAGUCAGAUGUGAAAUCCCCGGGCUCAACCUGGGAACUGCAUUUGAAACUGGCAAGCUAGAGUCUCGUAGAGGGGGGUAGAAUUCCAGGUGUAGCGGUGAAAUGCGUAGAGAUCUGGAGGAAUACCGGUGGCGAAGGCGGCCCCCUGGACGAAGACUGACGCUCAGGUGCGAAAGCGUGGGGCAGCAAACAGGAUUAGAUACCCUGGUAGUCCACGCUGUAAACGAUGUCGAUUUGGAGGUUGUGCCCUUGAGGCGUGGCUUCCGGAGCUAACGCGUUAAAUCGACCGCCUGGGGAGUACGGCCGCAAGGUUAAAACUUAAAGGAAUUGAC